rnacentral:rRNA from 1 species
UAAAUUGAGAGUUUGAUCCUGGCUCAGGAUGAACGCUGGCGGCGUGCUUAACACAUGCAAGUCGAGCGAUGAAGUUUCCUUCGGGAAACGGAUUAGCGGCGGACGGGUGAGUAACACGUGGGUAACCUGCCUCAUAGAGUGGAAUAGCC